GACGAACGCUGGCGGCGUGCUUAACACAUGCAAGUCGAGCGGUAAGGCCCUUUCGGGGGUACACGAGCGGCGAACGGGUGAGUAACACGUGGGUGACCUGCCCUCAGCUCUGGGAUAAGCCUGGGAAACUGGGUCUAAUACUGGAUAUGACUCCACGGUGCAUGUCGUGGGGUGGAAAGCCUUGUGCGGCUGAGGAUGGGCCCGCGGCCUAUCAGCUUGUUGGUGGGGUGANGGCCUACCAAGGCGACGACGGGUAGCCGGCCUGAGAGGGCGACCGGCCACACUGGGACUGAGACACGGCCCAGACUCCUACGGGAGGCAGCAGUGGGGAAUCUUGCGCAAUGGGCGGAAGCCUGACGCAGCGACGCCGCGUGAGGGAUGACGGCCUGG
rnacentral:rRNA from 1 species